AAUGAACGCUGGCGGCAGGCCUAACACAUGCAAGUCGAGCGGAGCGGCGGACGGGUGAGUAAUGCAUAGGAAUCUGCCUGGUAGUGGGGGACAACGUACGGAAAGGGGCGCUGAUACCGCAUACUAUCAGAUGAGCCUCAGUCGGAUGAGCUAGUUGGUGGGGUAAAGGCCUACCAAGGCGACGAUCCGUAACUGGUCUGAGAGGCUGAGCAGUCACACUGGAACUGAGACACGGUCCAGACGCCUACGGGAGGCAGCAGGGGGGAAUAUUGGACAAUGGGCGAAAGCCUGAUGCAGCCAUGCCGCGGUGGUGAAGAAGGUCUUCGGAUUGUAAAGCACUUUAAGUUGGGAGGCGUUACCAACAGAAUAAGCACCGGCUAACUUCGUGCCAGCAGCCGCGGUAAUUC
rnacentral:rRNA from 1 species